rnacentral:lncRNA from 1 species
AGUAUAAGGUGAAAAUAGACACAUUUUAUUUUAUCUCUAUAGAGACAAAAAUAUUAGAGAGUAGAAUGAGUUAUACCAUACCUAUAUAAGAUAACUUGGGAAAAAAAUAUAUAGAGGGUAAGUGGUACUUUAAUAAUGUGGAAAUAAAAGAGUAUUAUUUAUUUUCAGUGUGAAUUAAUUUUUGUAAUAUUUUAUCUAGGCC